AGUGGAAUUGCUGGGUUCUAUGGUAACUGUGUUUAACUUUUUGAGGAACUGCCAAACUGUUUUCCAAUGUGGCUUCACCAUUUUAUACUCCCACCGGCAAU
rnacentral:pre_miRNA from 1 species